UACAGAGGGUGCGAGCGUUAAUCGGAAUUACUGGGCGUAAAGCGUGCGUAGACGGUUAUUUAAGUCGGAUGUGAAAGCCCCGGGCUCAACCUGGGAAUUGCAUUCGAGACUGAAUAGCUAGGGUACGGUAGAGGGAAGCGGAAUUUCCGGUGUAGCGGUGAAAUGCGUAGAUAUCGGAAGGAACAUCAGUGGCGAAAGCGGCUUCCUGGACCAGUACCGACGUUCAGGCACGAAAGCGUGGGGAGCAAACCGG
rnacentral:rRNA from 1 species